AGUCUGAGAAUCCCCCCGGUGUGAAAACAUGACGAACAUACCACACCACUAGAGAGGGAGUUGCACCACAGAGAGGAGCUUUUAACACGCUGCAUUCCUGCUGCUGGUCCACAGCUGGACUCCAAAGUAAAGUUUACAUUCCUGGGUUGCUGGGAGGAAUGCUGCCCUCUGGGGCUCUGGAUCAGGCCUGUGGAUUACAAGUCAGGGAGCACGGAUGGAGACUGGGAUACUCACUUACCGGAGAUAUCAACAGCACUGACUCGAUCUACCCAGACUUUGUGUUUGAACCACACAUGCAUCGAUCAGAUCUAUUGACUUGAUGAUGGAAAUAUAAAAACUUUGUGUUGACACUUGCA